AUGCUCAUCCACAAGGAGGUUCUCCGGCUUGAGGUCCCGGUGAUAGACAUCACGGCUGUGGCAAAAGUCCACAGCCCCUAUCAACUGUUGAAAGUACUUCCUUGCAGCAUCUUCCUUGAGCCGGCCCUUGGCCACCCUGGCAAAGAGCUCGCCGCCCCGGACAUACUCCAUGGCAAAGUAUAUCUUGGUCUUGCUGGCCAUGACCUCGUGCAGCUGGACGAUGUUUGGGUGGCGAACCAGGCGCAUGAUGGAGAUCUCCCGCUUGAUCUGGUCAAUCAUGCCGACACGCAGCACCUUCUCCUUGUCAAUGACCUUGAUGGCGACGCUCUGGUUGGUCGCAAGGCUCCGCGCAUGGUACACCUUGGCGAAGGUGCCUUGCCCGAGCAUACGACCAAGCUCGUACCGGUUCAUGAGAAUGGCGGACUUCCUCUCCAUCCUAUCGGAUCCUUGUGCACAAGAGCAGCAGCAAGCUGGGUGGAGGUAAAAUUGGGUGUUCACAAGCGUCUACUCUGCGCCACUUCGUGCCUCUGUGUCCCUCCCUCCCCGAGAGGGAGGAGAGGUGAAGGGCGAGAGCGCGCUGUGAUUGGGGGGAAAACUAAUACACGACUGGUCUGUUUUCUCAGAAUCCUCCAAGGAUGA
rnacentral:rRNA from 1 species